GAUGAACGCUGACAGAAUGCUUAACACAUGCAGUCACUGAUUGUGGCGGAGGGGUGAGUAACGCGUAAAGAACUUGCAUCUCAGGUAGGGAAAACAUUGGGAAACGAAUGCUAAUACCUAAUACUGUGAGAGAGGUUUGCGUCCCAUUAGCUAGUUGGAGGGGUAACGGCUCACCAAGGCGAUGAUGGGUAGCCGGCCUGCUCGGGUGAUCGGCCACGAUGCGAAUGAGACACGGCCCUGACUCCUACUGGGGUCAGCAGUGGGGAAUAUUGGAGCAUGGACCAAAGGCUAAUCCAGCAAUUCUGUGGGCACGAUGAAGUUUUCGGAAUGUAAAGUUCUUUCAGUUGGGAAGCGGUACCAACAGAAGAAGCGACGGCUAAAUACGUGCCAGCAGCCGCGGUAAUAC
rnacentral:rRNA from 1 species